GUUGAGAUGGUCGAGUUGGUCUAAGGCGCCAGAUUAAGGUUAUGGUCCGAAAGGGCAUGGGUUCAAAUCCCACUCUCAACA
rnacentral:tRNA from 1 species